CCUACGGGGGGCAGCAGUGGGGAAUAUUGCACAAUGGGGGAAACCCUGAUGCAGCAACGCCGCGUGAGCGAUGAAGGCCUUCGGGUCGUAAAGCUCUGUCCUAAGGGAAGAAUACUGACGGUACCUUAGGAGGAAGCCCCGGCUAACUACGUGCCAGCAGCCGCGGUAAUACGUAGGGGGCUAGCGUUAUCCGGAAUUACUGGGCGUAAAGGGUGCGUAGGCGGCCCUUCAAGUCAGAGGUGAAAGGCUACGGCUCAACCGUAGUAAGCCUUUAAAAUGGUAGGGCUUGAGUGCAGGAGAGGAGAGUGGAAUUCCGAGUGUAGAGGUGAAAUGCGUAGAUAUUGGGAGGAACACCAGUGGAGAGGGCGGAUAGCUGGACUGUAACUGACGCUGAGGGACGAAAGCGGGGGGAGCGAACAGGAUUAGAUACCCUAGUAGUC
rnacentral:rRNA from 1 species